GCUUAGCCCUAAACAUAGACAGUUGUUUACCCCCACUGUCCGCCCGGGUACUACGAGCAUUAGUUUGAAACCCAAAGGACUUGGCGGUGCUUUAGACCCACCUAGAGGAGCCUGUCCUAGAACCGAUAAUCCCCGUUCAACCUCACCCUUCCUAGCCCUUAUCAGCCUAUAUACCGCCGUCGCCAGCUUACCCUAUGAAGGCACUAAAGUAAGCAUAAUUGGCAUUGCCCAAAACGUCAGGUCGAGGUGUAGCCUAUGGAAGGGGAAGAGAUGGGCUACAUUCCCUACCUCAGGGAACACGAACGGCACACUGAAAUGUGUGCACUGAAGGAGGAUUUAGUAGUAAGCAGAAAGUAGAGUGUCCUGCUGAACUCGGCCCUGAAGCGCGU
rnacentral:rRNA from 1 species